rnacentral:rRNA from 1 species
AUUGAACGCUGGCGGGAUGCUUUACACAUGCAAGCCGAACGGCAGCACGGACUUCGGUCUGGUGGCGAGUGGCGAACGGGUGAGUAAUGUAUCGGAACGUGCCCAGUCGUGGGGGAUAACGUAGUGAAAAUUACGCUAAUACCGCAUACGAUCUAUGGAUGAAAGCGGGGGAUCGCAAGACCUCGCGCGAUUGGAGCGGCCGAUAUCAGAUUAGGUAGUUGGUGGGGUAAAGGCCCACCAAGCCAACGAUCUGUAGCUGGUCUGAGAGGACGACCAGCCACACUGGAACUGAGACACGGUCCAGACUCCUACGGGAGGCAGCAGUGGGGAAUUUAGGACAAUGGGCGAAAGCCUGAUCCAGCCAUUCCGCGUGCAGGAUGAAGGCCCUCGGGUUGUAAACUGCUUUUGUACAGAACGAAAAGGUUUCUACUAAUACUAGGAGCUCAUGACGGUACUGUAAGAAUAAGCACCGGCUAACUACGUGCCAGCCGCCGCGGUAA